UGGAUGGUGUGUUCCCAGGUGGCGUCGCCGGUGGUGGUGAGGGUGUGGUCGCCGUAGUGGUCGCCGUCGGCGAGGGUGGCCAGGAUGGUGUUGUCGCCGUAGGGGCCGGUGCCGAUCUUGUUGACUUUGCCGUGGGCGAUGAGGAUGAGGCGGUCGGCGGGUUGGCCGGUUUGGGUGAUGGCUUCGCCGGUUUGGUGGUGGUUUUGGGUGAAGCGUUGGGCGAGGGCGUGGAGGGUGUCGUCGUCGUCGAAGUGGCGGAGGAGGGGGAGUUCGCGGAGUUCUUGGGGGAUGACGUGGAUGUCGGUGCCUUGGCUGGUGAAGCUGAGGCGGCCGUCGCCCAGGGCGUAGGACAGGCGGCGGUUGACGCGGUAGGUGCCGCCGCUGGUGUGGAUCCAGGGGAGCAUGCGCAGCAGCCAGCGCGAGGAGAUGUUCUGCAUCUGGGGCUGCGAUUUGGUCGUCGUGGCCAGGUUGCGGGCGGCCGCGGUGGCCAGUGCCUGCUGGGCCUGG
rnacentral:antisense_RNA from 1 species